rnacentral:rRNA from 1 species
UACGGGGGAUGCAAGUGUUAUCCGGAAUAAUUGGGCGUAAAGCGUCUGUAGGUGGUUGACCAAGUCUGUUGUUAAAAAUCAGGGCUCAACCCUGAUCCGGCAACAGAAACUAGUAAACUUGAGUACGGUAGGGGCAGAGGGAAUUCUCGGUGUAGUGGUGAAAUACGUAGAUAUCGAGAAGAACACCAAUAGCGAAAGCACUCUGCUGGGCCGAAACUGACAUUGAGAGACGAAAAGCUAGGGGAGCAAAAGGG